GACGAACGCUGGCGGCGUGCUUAACACAUGCAAGUCGAACGGAAAGGCCCUAGUUUGGUGUGGUGCUUGAGUUGCGAACGGGUGAGUAACACGUGAGUAACCUGCCUUGUACUGGGGGAUAACUUCAGGAAACGGUGGCUAAUACCGGAUAGGAGCACCUGCUGCAUGGUGGGUGUUGAAAAGUUUCGGCGGUUGGGCAUGGACUCGAGGCUUAUCAGCUUGUGGGUGUGGUAGUGGCUUACCAAGGCGUAGACGGGUAGCCGGACUGAGAGUGUGACCGGGCACAGUGGGACUGAGAUGCGAGCCAGACUGCUACGGGGGGAAGGAGUGGGGAAUAGUGCAAGAUGGGCGGCAGCCUGAUGCAGCAAUGCCGCGUGCUAGAUGACGGCCUUCGGGUUGUAACCAGUUUGCGCCUGGGACGAAGAGUGAGUGACGGUAAUGGGUAAAGAAGCAACGGCUAACUACGUG
rnacentral:rRNA from 1 species